rnacentral:rRNA from 1 species
GACGAACGCUGGCGGCGUGCUUAACACAUGCAAGUCGAACGGAAAGGCCCCCUUUUGUGGUACUCGAGUGGCUAACGGGUGAGUAACACGUGAGUAACCUACCCUUGACUUUGGGAUAACUUCAUGAAACUGGGUCUAAUACCGGAUAGGAGCUCCUGCUGCAUGUUGGGGGUUGGAAAUUUUCGUCGGUUGGGGAUGGAAUCGCGGCUUAUCAGCUUGUUGGUGGGGUAGUGGCUAACCAAGGCGUUGAGGGGUAGCCGGCCUGAGAGGGUGACCGGACACAUCGGGAUUGAACUAAGACACAGCCCCGACCGGGAGGCAGCAGUGGAGAAGAGUGCACAAUGGGAGGAAGCAUGAUCCAGUCCAGCCGCGUGCGGGAUGACGGCAUUCGGGUUGUAAACCGAUGUCGCCUGUGACGAAGCGUGAGUGACGGUAAUGGGUAAAGAAGCACCGGCUAACUACGUG